UUCCUUCCAAUUGAUGAGAUGUAACAAUCUCAUCAACCGGAAGGGAUUCCUUCCGGUCAAUGAGAUGUAACAAUCUCAUCAACCGGAAGGAAUCCCUUCCGGUCAAUGAGAUUGUUAUACCUCAUUGAUUGGAAUGGA
rnacentral:miRNA from 2 species